GCGUUGCCAGCCCGAAAAGAGCAGUAAUUAUAGGUAAAGGUAAAGGUUCCCCUCACACAUACAUGCUAGUUGUUCCCGACUCUAGGGGGCGGUGCUCAUCCCCGUUUCAAAGCCGAAGAGCCAGCGCUGUCCGAAGAUGUCUCCAUGGUCAUGUGGCUGGCAUAACUCAACGCUAAAGGCGCACGGAACACUGUUACCUUCCCAACAAAGAGUUUUGCCUUUAUGCUGUAACUCAAGCUUCAUUCUGCUUUGCCUUUUGGUUUGAAAUGGACAUAGAAUAAAUCAGCUACACUGAAGAAUGAAAAAUAUAUAGAAGUUGAUUAAAGAAAUCACCAUCUAAUACCUUUA